rnacentral:rRNA from 1 species
GACGAACGCUGGCGGCGUGCUUAACACAUGCAAGUCGAACGGUAAGGCCCUGCUUUUGUGGGGUGCUCGAGUGGCGAACGGGUGAGUAACACGUGAGUAACCUGCCCUUGACUUUGGGAUAACUUCAGGAAACUGGGGCUAAUACCGGAUAGGAGCUCCUGCUGCAUGGUGGGGGUUGGAACGUUUCGGCGGUUGGGGAUGGACUCGCGGCUUAUCAGCUUGUUGGUGGGGUAGUGGCUUACCAAGGCUUUGACGGGUAGCCGGCCUGAGAGGGUGACCGGCCACAUGGGGACUGAGGUACGGACCAGACUCCUACGGGAGGCAGCAGUGGGGAAUAUUGCACAGUGGGCGGAAGCCUGAUGCAGCAACGCCGCGUGCGGGAUGACGGCCUUCGGGUUGUGAACCGCUUUCGCCUGUGACGAAGCGUGAGUGACGGUAAUGUGUAAAGAAGCACCGGCUAACUACGUG